AACGCACGAGACCUGCGGACCUGCGGAGGGAUCAUUACCGAGUUUACAACUCCCAAAACCCCUGUGAACCUAUACCAUUACUGUUGCUUCGGCGGGUCAUUGCCCCGGGGAAAGGACGAGGUGCCGCCUAGGCUCCCCGGCCCGCCCCCGGAAACAGGCGCCUGCCGGGGGAAUCAAACUCUUCUGUAUUUUUUACUUUUACUGUUUUACUGUCUGAGUACAAAACUAUAAAUGAAUCAA
rnacentral:misc_RNA from 1 species